CCUACGGGAGGCAGCAGUGGGGAAUAUUGCGCAAUGGGCGAAAGCCUGACGCAGCGACGCCGCGUGAGGGAUGAAGGUCUUCGGAUUGUAAACCUCUGUCAGCAGGGAAGAACGGUCACUGUGCUAAUCAGCAGUGAAUUGACGGUACCUGCAAAGGAAGCACCGGCAGACUCCGUGCCAGCAGCCGCGGUAAUACGGAGGGUGCGAGCGUUAAUCGGAAUUACUGGGCGUAAAGCGCUCGUAGGCGGUAUGUCAAGGCAAGGGUGAAAUCUCCGCGCUCAACGUGGGAACUGCCUUUGAAACUGGCAAACUGGAGUGUGUGAGAGGAUAGUGGAAUUCCAGGUGUAGGAGUGAAAUCCGUAGAUAUCUGGAGGAACAUCAGUGGCGAAGGCGACUAUCUGGCACAUAACUGACGCUGAGGAGCGAAAGCGUGGGUAGCAAACAGGAUUAGAUACCCUUGUAGUC
rnacentral:rRNA from 1 species